CCCCCCACUCAAAGCAAGCAAGCCAACAAACAAUGCGUUUACGUACCUCCUAUACAAAGGGGGCCUCAAACCCGGAAGCCACCGGAUUCAGCGAGCACUUCAGAAAAUGUCUGCACAUGACCUUAUGGAAAGUUUGAAAAGUUAGAAAUAGGCCAAGUGUGUCUUGAUCCAUUCUUCUGAACACGCCUCUUCUGCUGCUGGGAAGGCCUAGCUCUGAAUUGUCUUGACACUGGGGGGAGAAGGAGCUGGCAGUGAGCUGACCUCUACCAAAGUGACCCGGAUCCGGAAGCCAGUGGAGGAGAGCCUGGGGCUUGGUAGAGGCAGCAUAGAUCAGGGAUAAGAACAUAGCCCGAGGCUCACCUUUCACUGCAACCAAGAAGAUGUAUAACCUUGAGUGAGACACCUAAUUUCUCUAUGGCUCCUUUCUGCAUGGAUAAGGUUAAACUAGGAAAAACACCAAAUUCUUGAUUGUGAGGAAUUUUUCAACAGAGAAUAAAAGACCAUAAAUGCCCAUGAGCCACCCUGCCUCGGAAAGCCAGAGAGCCCCUGGAUUAAAGUUUGCAAAUUAGAGGAUGAGUCGAAACAUCUGAAAAUGGGUGACAAGGCAAACUUUAUACAACAAACGACAGAGCUAUGUAACUACGUGAAAAUAGAGAAAUAGCUGGAUAAAAAGAGCCAUGUGAAUGAUGGAUGGACGCACAGAUGGAUGCAUGAGAAGGAAGGAAAUAAGGAAGAAAGGGAGAAAGGAAGGAAGAAAACAGACCAAAAUGUUGUUGUAGUUGAUCUCCGGGUGGCAGAGAGCUUCACUUUUACUUAAGACGAGUAACAAAAGAGAACAAUGGGCACUGGCAGCAGUGACGUCUUGGUGUGGAGAAAUCAGCAACCAGCCUCAGACGGGCAGACUUCCUUAUCCUACCAGGAACUCGCAGAAAGGAACAGUUUCCAUCUUCCACUUUAAAGGCAAAAGAGCAGUUUUGACCCUAUGUAUAUAUCACAGUGCAUUCUGGCUUCUACUGGGGCAGAAACUUCCCCGAAACCCUACAAGGGCAGCUGUUUCUCAUUAAGAAGAAUCCAUCCCUGAUGAAGGUGAUAAUAAUGUUUCCAGGGACGCCUGUUCCGGGUGUCUCUCUGCAGUGAACUUGUGAACUCUUUGACUUCCUGCUCUAAGAGGAAGUCUGCUCUCUGAAGUGCUCUGAUGUUUCUCCUCUCUUUACCCAGCUUUUCAGUUGAUUGUGGAGACUUUCCAGAGUUUCCAUUCGUUUUGCCCCUAUCCCGCUGUCUCAGCAACCUAGUAUGAGAGGGAAAAAACCACUAGUAUUUUUACAAUCCAUGUGAAGAUAUAUCAAGCCAGCCAUUCACAGCUGAAUUUCCACAUAACUCCAUGGGUUUGGCAGAAGAACAAAUGUCAAAUUUUGGCAAACAUUUUUGGCAUAGUCCACACUGUGAUAUAAUAGCAAGGCCAUUAAAAGGUUAAAAUAUUUGUAUCUUGGGUAGGCAUAAUACAUCUUUAAUCUCUAAACAUCCCUUACCGUGUAGCUCGUGGUUUGCUACCCUCAAUGUCUACUCCCACUGCAUCUCUCUGCAGGGGUCUUCUGAGGAAUGAUCAGUUAAUAAGGCCACAGGAAGUCUAGCUAUACUUGUCACUUUCUCUGGAUCAGGAAAUGAGGCCUUCUUCUAGCAAAGAAUAAGUGACUCAAGAUGGGGAGCAACAAAUUGAGAAUAAUUGAGAAGUCUUCUGUUGACAGACACAGGAUUUAUCAGUUUAAGGACUAGUUGUCCUUUCAAUCCUGGAUAAAUUCCCAUCUGGCUUGAGUAGUAUGGACUGUUUUUAUUUGUUUGUUUGCUGGAAAAUAAUAUAGAUAUGACUGAGUUUUUAAUAAGCCUCAAUACUUGGAUAAGUACAGAAUGUGACAAGGUUGAAGAUGCUGUAAAUCAUUCCCAAUGAAGGAAAGGAGAGAAGGACAGGUGAACCUGAGUUCAAAGGCAACACACAACUUCCAAGAACUCUUUGAUGGAAGACCUCUUCUGAGAGAGGAAGAUAUUUACAAAUGAGGAGAAAUAUUCUAUAAUAAGAGUGUGCACCAUACAGUAUAGGAGGAUAGAGAAAGAAAUGACUCUUUCUAUGGCUCUGUAGGGGAGUCAGUGGAAGCAUUUGGGCUAAAUGGUGGAUGAGUAGGAUUUGCCAGAAGGGGAAUGGGUGAGAGAGAAUUCCCUGCGGAAGGAACAGCAUACGCAAAGGCACAAAAUUGUGAAGAAACAGGGUGUGUUCAGGGAAAGCCUAGAAUUUGAAAUGGUUUCAGUAUAAUAUACAUGGGAAGUUGGCCAUGAAGGAUCAUGUUGAAUUUUAUCCAUUGAUCAACUAAUGAUGGCUGUGGUUGUUUUGUCCUAUAUAUGUUGAUCAGGUUAUCUAUUUUUUUUUGGAUUUUUAUGCAAAUGGAAUAGCUCAGAAUUACCAGAAUAAAAAAUCAUGUAAACAUAUUUUAAAAUCAAAUAGUGCAAAAAACUUAUAAGAAAAACAAGAGUUCUUUGCCCCAGCCUUCCACAUCCUCAGUCCCGUUCCCCAGAAGCAGCCAUAGUCAACCUUUUGGGAGAACCAUGUCUACCUUCCACCAAAUGCUUGAUCCUUAUCUACCAUAAUAUAAAGUCAGUGCAAUAUGUCUAAAAAUUAGACUAGAGCUGUCCCAGUUCUCCCAAUUGUGGUAUCACAAUUUUUGGUUAAAUCAAUAUUUACAUUAUUACAUAUUUCCCCUUGAGUCAAAAUUAUAUUAUUUUCAUUUGUUUAGUUUUUAUGUACUUCUUGCUAAUUCUCCUCAUAUAUUCCAACAUAUGUAUGCUCCAAAAUGCAAUAUAAUAUCUCAGAUUUAUUUGUUUAUCAUUUAUUUUUUUCCCUUGGUGACAUCCUUUCUGGAAUCUUUUGUCUUCCUGCUUCAGUCUGAGCUGGUUGCUUUCGAGACUUGCUGUAUGACUAUCCUCCUAGGAUUUCUUCCUCCUACUCUUCUGUGUUGGAUCCCCUGAUUCCCUGAUCGCAUAUGUAGUAGUUUUAAAACACAGCUGAAAAUGCUUUGACACUCUUCCCAUCAAUGGUAGUAUCUAUGUCCCCUCCUCUUGAAUCUAGGUGGGCUUGUGGCAGCUUCAAACACUAGAGGAUGGCAGACGAGAUGCUACAUGAUUUUUGAGGCUGGAUCAGAAAAAGCCCUGAAGCCCUGCCUUGUUCACUGGGAACACUUGCUCUAAGAGUCCUGAGCUUCCAUGUACUAAGUCCAACCACUCUGAGACCGCUGCUGGAAGAAUACAUGUAGAUGCUCCAGUAGACGGUCCUACCUGAGCCUGUCCUUCAGCCAUCCCAACCCGGGGGCCAGACACGUGACUGAAGGACCAGCGUGGAAGUAGAUCCUUUAGCUCCUGCUGUUCCAGUCUCCAGCCAUUUGAGUUACUCUCAGGAAUGCGAGUCAUUCCAGCUGAGACCUCAGAUAUUGUGGAGGAGAAAAGAGCUAUCCUUGCUGUGUCCUUUUUGAAUUCCUGACCGCAUAAUAACUUUUUUAUGCCACUACAUAUUUGGGUGGUUUAGUGCACAGCAAAAUAUAACCAGCAAACCAUAUUUUCUUUCCUUCCUUCCUUCUUUCCUUCAUUGUUUUUGUUUGUUUGUUUAUUCUCUUCUUUUGGUAGAAUAUAUCCACCAGUGUUUUUCUGAGAAAGAAUAUAUGGGAGGUAAAUUUUUGAGUAUUUUUCUAUCUGAAAAUGUUAUUUUAACCAUUCAUUUGAUUGAUGCUUUGACAGCUUAUAGAAUUUUUAUUUAACCUUUUAAGAUAUUACUCCUUCGAUUUCUAGUAUCCUAUGUCCCUAUUAAGAGAAACAAGGUCAAUCCAAUUCCUGAUCCUUUGUAUGUUAUCUGCCCACAUUCAUCCCUCCCGAGAAGGUUUUUAUUUUUUUUAAAAAAAUUUCUCCAUUUGCAACAAUGUGGCUGGACCUUGAGGGUAUUAUGUUAAGCAAAAUAAGCCAGACAGAGAAAGACAAACACUGCAUGAUUUCACUCAUAUGUGGAAGAUAAACAAACACAAGGACAAAGAGAACAGAUUAGUGGUUAUCAGAGGCGGGGGAGGGUGGGUGAAACGGGUAAAGGGGCACGUUUAUAUGGUGACAGAUAAAAAUUGGACUAUUGAUGGUGAGCACAAUGCAGUCUAUACAGAAACUGAUAAAUAAUAAUGUACACCUGAAAUUUCACAAUGUUAUAAACUGUUAUGACCUCAAUAAAAAAAAAGUUCUCUUGGUAUGAAAUUUCACAAUGCCUGGAUGUUGCUCAUGUUUCUAUUUAUUUUUGCUGUAUUUAUUUUGCUCUCAGUGAGUUUUAAUCUGGAG
rnacentral:lncRNA from 1 species